CCCUUAGAGUUUGAUCCUGGCUCAGGAUGAACGCUGGCGGCGUGCUUAACACAUGCAAGUCGAACGAAGCGCUUAAGAUUGAUUCUUCGGAUGACGUCUUUUGCGACUUAGUGGCGGACGGGUGAGUAACGCGUGGGUAACCUGCCUCACACAGGGGGAUAACAGUUAGAAAUGACUGCUAAUACCGCAUAACCCGAUAGGAUCGCAUGAUCCAGACGGAAAAGAUUUAUCGGUGUGAGAUGGACCCGCGUCUGAUUAGCUAGUUGGUGAGGUAACGGCCCACCAAGGCGACGAUCAGUAGCCGGCCUGAGAGGGUGAACGGCCACAUUGGGACUGAGACACGGCCCAAACUCCUACGGGAGGCAGCAGUGGGGAAUAUUGCACAAUGGGGGAAACCCUGAUGCAGCGACGCCGCGUGAGUGAAGAAGUAUUUCGGUAUGUAAAGCUCUAUCAGCAGGGAAGA
rnacentral:rRNA from 1 species